rnacentral:rRNA from 1 species
ACUGCUCAGUAACACGUGGAUAACCUGCCCUUGGGACCGGGAUAACCCCGGGAAACUGGGGAUAAUCCCGGAUAAGGCAUAUCUCCUGGAAUGCUUUAUCCUAAAAUGGAUUUGUCUGCCCAAGGAUGGGUCUGCGGCCUAUCAGGUAGUAGUGGGUGUAAUGUCCUACUAGCCUACGACGGGUACGGGUUGUGAGAGCAAGAGCCCGGAGAUGGAUUCUGAGACAUGAAUCCAGGCCCUACGGGGCGCAGCAGGCGCGAAAACUUUACAAUGCGGGAAACCGUGAUAAGGGGACACCGAGUGCCAGCAUCAUAUGUUGGCUGUCCAGAUGUGUAAAAUACAUCUGUUAGCAAGGGCCGGGCAAGACCGGUGCCAGCAGCCGCGUA